CAAUGUGACCCUGCUCAAACACAGGGCCGGCAAGCCUCGUCUCGUGCUCCUGGAGGGGGGAGGGGGCUAUAAAAGCGACAUGUUCUCACAAGCAUGGCAGAGCCCAUGCAUAAACCAUUUGGCUUUGCAAUUAAAAACAGGUUUGGCUUCCCUCUGCAUCAAUAAGGCAACGUCAAAGCAACAUUCAUCCCGAAAAUGUUCCCUUGUGAAUUCAAAUGAACUGAUGCAUUAAACUAUUAGAUCCCACGAUGUUGGGAGAAAUAACUGCUUUGCAGCUAAAAUCCUUCCCCUCACCGUACAAUGAAGAGCUUAGAAGGAUCCUAUGAAAGUCAAUCCCAGCUGCAGUGAAAUCAUCCAAUUUCUACAAGGAGCUCCUUGGCAUUUUCUUAGAAUCCAUCCCAAUGCAGUGAAUUUAAUAUGUCAUAAAGAUGUGAACCUAAGAAGACUAUGUCUUUGUGCAGCUAUCCGGGUAGACAUGCAAGAAUACAACUUCUAAAGGGAUCCUGGCUGAUACAGAAUGUCAGAUGGUGAUAGUAUGAUGGAGAAAAAAAUAAUAGAGCAGAGAAAGGGGACAGGAAGUGCUGAGGAAUCUCUCCACAGCACAAUGGUGUGCUUUCCACAUCAAUAAUCACAAGUAUUAAGUUGACGGAGGCAGAUAACCAGGGAUGUACACCACCAAGAAUGCCCAUUUCUCAGGGCACCAUUACAUGGUGUAUCGUGGCCAGAGCGCUGGAUCUGAAAGCAAAGGCCUGAGUCUUAUCCCAUCUCUGUCUGCGGUGAGAGCAAGUUCCAUCCUACCGGUGCGUAUCCACGUCCCCAUCCAAGAAAGGAGACAGUUGGAUUGUAUUCAUAGGUGUUAAACUGUGCACCUCAGAAGUGUUAUUAAGUGUUUCUUGAAAGACUUGUGCGGUCAAAUAAUCUGGGGGUAUCACUGAAUUUCACACGCACACACAGAGCACAUUCUUAGAGAUUUGCAAUAUGCGUUCACGUAUCAAAUGCCUCCUUGAGACGCUCUGAAAAACGUUUACAACAAAUAAAUCGAUUUAGUAAUGUUUCCCAAACAUAUUUCCCCAAGAACACUAUGUGUGUUCAAAUAGUUCAGGUAGCGCUGGACAAAAGUUUUCAAAGGGCCUUCCAACUACCAUCAGGCCCGCCCACGUCAGGUUAGCCAGGCUCGUUACUGGCGUCAGAGGCUAGUGGCUAAAUCUGGGGCCUAAGAAACAGACGACCUGGGCUCAGACCCAUAGCUUCUCUGCUUCCUUGCUUUGUGACCUCAGUUCUGUUAUUUAACUUCUCUGUACUUGGUUCCUUCACUGUAAAACUGAGAUAAUAAUAUCAUCUGUUUCUUAGGGUCGUUAUGAGGAUUGAAUGAGUUAACAAAAUAUAUCAAACUCUUAGCAGAUUACCUAAGCCCUCGUAAGUGCUAUAGACGUGUUAGCCUUAUUGUUCAAUAUCAUAAACCCUUGUCAGAUGCAAUGAUCUAAGAGAAGGAAGAUUAGGUGAAGGAAAUUGAUGUUUACAGAGCAUCUACUGUACGUCCGUGAUGUACAUACGUAAUCUCAUAAACCGUCAUAAUAAAACUGAGAUCAAAAUAUAAUUAUUUCAUUUUACAGUGAGUAAAAUAAAACUCUGAGACGCUAAGGAAUUUGCCUUUUAUUACCCAGAUAUUAAGAUGAAAAAUUAACCCCCAAAUUCAGGUAUCCCUGACUUCAAAACUCAAGUUCUUUCCACCACAUUAUACUGCUAUAAAGGGUGAAAAGGAAUAAACUUUCCAUCAUUUAAUAGAUGAAGAAAUAAGGUAGACAAACUAAAAUAGAUCCUAGGAUCAUGAGGUAAGAUUCAAAUUGAAAAGCUAUCCAUAUUCUGUCAACCAGCCCUAUAACGUAUUCAUUACUGGACCCUAAAAGUAGAAGGAACUGUGAAAAGGAAAGAAGGAACUAUCUCUAAUUUUGAUCUGGUUACAAUUUUUUUAAUUAAGGAUACUUUAUCUCUUAAUUCAGUACCUACUGUAUGGAUUAUGUCCCAUUUUAGCAGAGAUUUGGCUCUCCCCUACCUAACUCAGAUUAUGUUUUUAGAGACGCAUAGGUUUGAAGUAGACAUUUAAAGGUCAAAUUAAUUCUACUGCCUCCAGAAAGGAUUGGAUCAAAAUAAUUCUCAAACGAUAAUCCUUCACCCUAUUCUACUUUUACAUAUUCAGAGAGGAAAAUUCCGUGACUUUGAUUUUAAAAAAUCAAAUAUUAAUAAUAUAUUUAAAAUUUCAUAACAUGCAAAGACCUUUGAGACAUUUGUGAAAAUAAAAACACAUUCAUCAAAAAUAAUGAGAAAAAUAAAAUAAGAAGAUGAAUUGAUUUUCCUUGAUGGAGUACAGUAUUGCGCAUUAAGAACUGAAAUUCAGGACGCAGGGCUUGGGGAAGUAAUUUAUUGGAUAUUAAUCUUCCCUUUUCGCCAGCAAGGCACAACUUUACUUAGAUAUGUCUGUUGCAUCCAAAGUUUUAAAAUAUGGGUCAAGAAUAUAGCUGUGCCACGUAUCCCAGACUGCUAUUCUGCUUGGUUCAUCUAAUCACUAAAACUGGUUUUUUUAUAGCAAUGUCAAAGAUGAUAGAGCUUAGGGACU